rnacentral:rRNA from 1 species
UGGCUCUUCUGAGCAUGUGCACACUUGUCAUCUUUACUUCUCCCAACUGUGCACAUAUUGUAGGCCUGGAGCUUUUGAUUAUUUUGUAUAAAUUGAGGACUGCUGGGCCAAAAAGCCAGCUUUUCCUUGCAUUUCCAGGUCUAUGUUAACUUUCACAACCUCUGAAUGUGUUUAGAAUGUUGGAAUAUAAUAUGAAAAUAUACAACUUUCAGCAACGGAUCUCUUGGCUCUCGCAUCGAUGAAGAACGCAGCGAAAUGCGAUAAGUAAUGUGAAUUGCAGAAUUCAGUGAAUCAUCGAAUCUUUGAACGCAACUUGCGCUCCUUGGUAUUCCGAGGAGCAUGCCUGUUUGAGUGUCAUCAAGCUCUCAACCACACUAAUCUAUCAUCUGGCUUGGUGUGGCUCUUGGAUGUGGGGGUUUUAUUUUGCUGGCUUCUAUAAAUUGAGGUUGGCUCCCCUGAAAUUUAUUAGUGGUAUCUGAGCAGAGAAAACUACUACAGGUGUGAUAAAUUAUCUAUGCCUUGGUAAUACUGCAUGAACAGAUUGUGCUGCUUCCAAUGAAAUCAUUUGACAAAUUUGACCUCAAAUCAGGUAGGACUACCCGCUGAACUUAAGCAUAUCAAUAAGCGGAGGAAAAGAAACCAACAAGGAUUCCCCUAGUAACUGCGAGUGAAGCGGGAAAAGCUCAAAUUUGAAAUCUGACAGUUCUUUUGACUGUCCGAGUUGUAAUCUAGAGAAGCGUUACCUGUGCUGGACUGUGUACAAGUCUCCUGGAAUGGAGCAUCAUAGAGGGUGA